GAAAAACAGGUCAGCCCUGCCAAGUUGGCUCUUUCCCUCAGUGCCUGCGAAGAUCUGGGGAUGGAGGGUGGGAAGGCAGGAAAGGGCACCUGUUCCACCAGGCACAGGUAUGUGCAUGCCCUUUGCCCCUCGGGGACUUUCCAUGGGAUCUGGGACCAAGCUAUUUCAGGAAAGCCUUUCGACAUCAGGAGCAGCACCAGGGAGAGGUAGACGCGGCUGUGUUUGUUUUGCUUUUUCUCUCUUACUCCCCAAGAUGGGUUUGGCAAUCGCGUAUGAGCCGUGUAAUCCUCCCUCUGGGCCUUCCUCAGCACAGCCUGUCCCCGAGGACACCAAAGGUUACCAGACACACCAGGGCCUGGUUUAGCUCUGAGUUGAGACUGGGCACAAAGCCUCCUGGGACACCAUCCGGGGGGUUACGUCACCAGGACAGGUAGGUGCCUGUCAGACAGCUCUCCAGGCCUGGAAGGGAACCAGGAAACCCAGAUCUGCCGAGGCUCAUUGUACCCAUGAGACCCUGGGAGCCCACCGGGGAACCUUCCCUGGCCCGGGACUCCACAUGGCAUGUCCCAUGGGCUGGUCAGCUUUCCAUCACUGUGAAAUGCCUGACAGGAACAAGUCAGAGGAGGAAAGGUUUAUCUUGGCUCAUGUUUUAUGAGGUUUCAGACCAUGGUUGGCCAACUCGAUUGCUCUAGACCCCAGAUGAGCAUUAAUCCACCAAAUGGAUUAAUCCACUGAUAGGCUCAGAGCCCUCAUGAUCCAAUUGUUGCCUAAAAGCCCCGACACAAGAGAGUUGGGGAAGAUUUCAGAUCCAAACCCUAACACCCCAGAAAGGGUCACCUAGAAAGCAGGCCUCAAGUGGGGCUCUCAGCGUCUCACGCAGGUGCUCCUGCCUGGUCAGGCGCAGACCCCUCGGGGACAUCCGCACCGUGUUC
rnacentral:lncRNA from 1 species